GGAGUCUGGGCCGUGUCUCAGUCCCAAUGUGGCCGUUCAACCUCUCAGUCCGGCUACCGAUCGCGGUCUUGGUGGGCCGUUACCUCACCAACUAACUAAUCGGACGCGAGUCCAUCUUCAAGCGAUAAAUCUUUGAUAUGUCUGCCAUGUGACAAUCAUAUGUCAUGCGGUAUUAGCAUUCUUUUCAGAAUGUUAUCCCCCUCUUGAAGGCAGGUUACUCACGCGUUACUCACCCGUCCGCCACUAAACUGAAUCAAUGUCAUUCCGAAGAAAUCCUUCGAAGCAGUUCCGUUCGACUUGCAUGUGUUAGGCACGCCGCCAGCGUCGUCCUGAGCCAUGAUCAAACUACU
rnacentral:rRNA from 1 species